GUCGGUGGGUUUAUUUCUCGAAUGUCCCAAUACAAAAUGACCCUUCGUUUUUAUCAAAGUACAGAAAAUUAAAAUAUAAAAUAUCUCUGUGUGUGUGUAUACAUGUAUGUAAAACUGGCUAUAAUUACAAAUGCAUAAAAUGACUAUUUACGUAACAUCUGUUGCUUCUCUCUUCAUAUUGGGCUUCAGCUGACUGGAGGAGCCCAAUAGCUCAACAG
rnacentral:lncRNA from 1 species